CAGGACUGGUUUUAAACAUAUGGAGGGAAGAUGGAGAAGCCACCUGUCAAAACCGCUUCAGAGAUGAGCUGCAGUCGAAAAAAUGACACAUUUGAUGGCCGCGGAGUCAAGCCAGCGAGGGCGGAAUCGCUAACGGAAAUGCAGGUCUGGAGGAACACAAAGGACGGACAUGUGAGAGCGCGCGCAUACUGUGAAAAGGGAUCAUGGCAAUCGAUGACCUUCUGAGAGCAAGACAAGAUAAGAGCCACAUUCUGAAUUACUGAGAAGGUUAAGCUACAUUCAGAGACUUGAAGCCUUGGCCCUUGAAGGAGAAUGCGCAUAUUUUGCAAACAUAAACAGG